rnacentral:lncRNA from 1 species
AGGUUGGUAUUCCAGCAUGUCGGGCUUGCCAAGGAAUAAGGACAUUGAUGGCGUUUUCUCUUCUAGAGGACUACAAAGCCCCUUCCAGCAUGAUGAAAGCUUCUUGUAUCAGGUAUAUGUGUGCCUGGUGCCUACAGAGUCCAGAAGAGGACUGGAAUUGGAGUUGAAAAUGGACUUAUUAAUGAAGGGAUGUUGAAGUUUAUCAAAUACCCUUUUCUGUAUCUUUCAAGAUGAUGAUGAUGAAUCAAACUCAUGUUUUGAGGCUUGCAACCUUAACUGUUUCUUUUGAAAUCAACUAAUAAAGAAAGGAUUAAAUAAAUCACCAAGCAUCCAUGCCAUGAAAAACUGGAUUUUUGAAAGAAUGAAGCAACUCCAUGUGUGCUGACUUGGAAUGUCCACUAACCUGCAGCUGGAAACAGCAGCAGUCAUCCAGACUGUGAAGCACGGGGUAGUACCAUCGUCUACAGAAGGUUGGGAAGAGUAGGGCGAUAUAUCUGAAUCCUGUCCACCUACAGUUUAUUUGUGUGUGAGAUGUAAUAGAUUGUCGCUGGGGCUGCUGAAGUACUCAGAAAGUACUACAGACUAGGUGAUUUACUGACAGAAGUAGUUCUCAUCCAAGAUCAUGGUGUCCCAAGGGACUUUUUUUUUUCUUCUGAAUUCUUUCUCCUUUUGGUUUAUAGAUGGUUGUCUUCCCCAGUGUCUUCAUGAGGUCUUCCAUUCGUGUCCUAAUUGCAAAAGGAUAACGCAUGGCUGAGGGCCUGUCUCAGUGAUGGCUCUUCACCAAAUCUCUUCCUUAAAGAAAUUAUUUUCAGAUGUAUGGUAUUCCCAUUCUGAAGUGUAGCUUUCAGUGAAUGAGUUUGAACUUGUUAGUUCAAAACAAGAAAGGAUUCCUCUCUGUGCCUCAGAGAGGUUGAAUAACCAACUAUGACCAUGAUGUACCUGGGGGAGGGGAGCUGCUGAGUCAGCAAACAGGAGGAAAGAAACCAUGUCUACCUUUCCAAAGUUUAUAACCUAUAUAUGUGACACAGAUUUUUGAAACUUAGUCAGUGUAACAGGCCCCAGACCUUAGUAGCCACCUUAGUUAUACUAAAGUAUACUUAGUACCUUAGUAUAACUUAGCACACUGUCCCCAUGAUGAAGUACCAUUUAGGCCAUAAAAUUAAACACAUAGACAGCACCACCAGCCAAAAUGAAACCAAAGACCUAACCCAUCAAAGUCUGUAGUUCUGGGAAAAUCUCUAAAAGUACUAAUUUUGCUUUUUGACUUCUGUAAUUCCUUAUCUGGGUAACUGAAGUAUGUCAAUGAGAAACGGUUUGGUUGUGUGUGUGUGUGUGUGUGUGUGUGUGUGUGUGUAUAAACCCCCCAGUAGCAACCAGCUGAGACUUGUCUCUGACAAAAUCACACAAUCCAUCCUGAAAUGGAUUCCUCUACUUCAGUUGUGUGAAACAGUGCUGGCUGGCAUUUUUUUUUCUGAGAGAUGUUCCAUCAAUGCUCAAGGUGACUGGUCUGUGCUCUUGGGUUCUUGGUUCACUCAACUAAUUUCUCUGCUUUCCUAAGGGUGGGGUGCUGGAGAGAGUACAUAGGAAAACCUGAGAGUCAUUUUCAUGUUGGGCUUCCCUUCCAAGGUGUCUAGGGCCCUCGUUCUCUACAGUACUUGGCUCUCUCUUACUUCUUCUAGAAUAGAUACCCACCUUAGUCACUGCAUUGAGGUUGGCAAUCUGUGGGCAGCUCUUCAAUCAUUCUCUCCAUCUGGAUCCCUUUCAGUGCUUCCCUGACUUACCCUCUCUAGCACUUCACACCUUUGAACACAUGAUAAUUUUUCUCGCCCAGUCCCAAGAAUUGUUGCCUACGUUGUCCACAGAUGAAUCCCAAGCAACUGGGGUCAUGCCUACCCCAUAGUAGACACUUGAUGAUUAUCAGUUGAUUGGCAGAUAGAGCACACGACCAUCUGCUGGGCACGAUGCCCUUUUCCUUUCUGGCCCUUGGUUGUGUUUCCUCUCUCACACUCUCUCCUCUCUACAUGCUAGUCUCCACUUCUCCCAGGUAAGGACAGCUAAGGCAGCUGGCCUGAUGUGUCUGUCAGCCUCACGAGAUCCUGUGAUUAAGGCCGCAAGAAUGUACUUAUUUUAGAAAUGAAGGCUCACAAAUGGCAAGUAACUUGGUUAGCAUUCUCCCAGGAAUUGUGCUCUCCAGGCUCGGCCUCCAUCUACGUUUUAUGUAAUCUGUGACUUUGAGAACUUGCCCUUCUGGAAGUGCCUCUGUGUCUGCCUCAGUCUCUCAGACGCUGCGUGUCAUGUCUACCUUCCUAGAUUUGUAAACCGAAUUUUUUCAUUUUUAGAGAAACUUUGUGAGGGAGGCUGGGCGGUUGCCCGUGCAGGCUCAUGCUGGCUAGUUUUACGUCAAUGUGACACAAGCUAGAGUCAUUUGGGAAGAGGAACUUUCAGUUAAGAAAAUGACUCCAUAAAAUCGGGCAAUUUUUUUUUUUUUUUUUGUAAUUUAGUGAUAGAUGAAGGAAGACUGAGCCCAUUGUGUGUGGUGCCAUCUUUGGGGAGAUGGUCCUUGUAUAAGAAAGCAGGCUGGGCAAACGAUGGGCAAAGAGCCAAUAAUUAGCACCCAUCCCUGUCCUCUCGCUCAGAAUCUGAAUCCAAGCUCCCAUUCUGUUUGAAUUGGGGCCCUGGUUUCCUGCUGUGGUGGACCUUUUCCUGGAAGUGUAAGAUGAACUCAACCCUCCCCUUCCCUUCCCAGGUUGCUUUUGAUGGAGAUGCUUUGGCGCAGCAGUAGAAACCCCAACUAAGAUCGUGCUUAUGUCAGAUUGGUUUCGUGAUAGAAUCGGAUCUGGACAGCAGUUUCCUUCAAUAAACGUCAGUGGAGCACCUUCUGGGUCCCUGGCAUGGAUGGACAGCAUCCCAAGAGGACUUUAGGUUGCCAUAUGAUUUGUUUCUCAACCAGCAUAUGAACUUUCCCAAGAUGAGGCAGGCCUUUUCAGUGUUACGCCCAAAUCCCAAAUCUAGGUGCAGAGUGCACAGCCAAAUCUCACCAAGCCUUCGUCUUCCUGAUAGAACAUGCUCGAUUUUAGCUGACUUCAUUCAGAAGUAGGAAUCAGAUACUAGUUGGCACAGCAG